rnacentral:rRNA from 1 species
AGAGUUUGAUCAUGGCUCAGGACGAACGCUGGCGGCGUGCCUAACACAUGCAAGUCGAGCGAGAAGCUUACAAGCAAGCCUUCGGGCGAGCGAGUAAGCGGAAAGCGGCGGACGGGUGAGUAACGCGUGAGCAAUCUGCCUUAAGGAGGGGGAUAACACAGAGAAAUCUGUGCUAAUACCGCAUAACAUAUAUAUUUCGCAUGGGAUAUAUAUCAAAGCUCCGGCGCCUUAAGAUGAGCUCGCGUCCGAUUAGUUAGUUGGUAGGGUAACGGCCUACCAAGACCGCGAUCGGUAGCCGGACUGAGAGGUUGAACGGCCACAUUGGAACUGAGACACGGUCCAGACUCCUACGGGAGGCAGCAGUGGGGGAUAUUGCGCAAUGGGGGCAACCCUGACGCAGCAACGCCGCGUGAAGGAAGAAGGUCUUCGGAUUGUAAACUUUUGUCUUUUGGGAAGAAAAAUGACGGUACCAAAGGAGGAAGCCACGGCUAACUACGUGCCAGCAGCCGCGGUAAUACGUAGGUGGCAAGCGUUGUCCGGAAUUACUGGGUGUAAAGGGCGUGUAGGCGGGUAGUCAAGUCAGAUGUGAAAUACCGAGGCUCAACCUCGGGGCUGCAUUUGAAACUGAUUAUCUUGAGUGCAGGAGAGGAAAGCGGAAUUCCUAGUGUAGCGGUGAAAUGCGUAGAUAUUAGGAGGAACACCAGUGGCGAAGGCGGCUUUCUGGACUGUAACUGACGCUGAGGCGCGAAAGCGUGGGGAGCAAACAGGAUUAGAUACCCUGGUAGUCCACGCUGUAAACGAUGGAUACUAGGUGUAGGGGGUAUCGACUCCCUCUGUGCCGCAGUUAACACAAUAAGUAUCCCACCUGGGGAGUACGGCCGCAAGGUUGAAACUUAAAGGAAUUGACGG